rnacentral:piRNA from 1 species
UCCUACCAACGUGUGAUGUCUCCCCC